rnacentral:rRNA from 1 species
GACGAACGCUGGCGGCGUGCUUAACACAUGCAAGUCGAACGGAGAGGCCCUGCUUUUGUGGGGUGCUCGAGUGGCGAACGGGUGAGUAACACGUGAGUAACCUGCCCUUGACUUUGGGAUAAUUUCAGGAAACUGGGGCUAAUACCGGAUAGGAGCUCCUGCUGCAUGGUGGGGGUUGGAAAGUUUCGGCGGUUGGGGAUGGACUCGCGGCUUAUCAGCUUGUUGGUGGGGUAGUGGCUUACCAAGGCUUUGACGGGUAGCCGGCCUGAGAGGGUGACCGGCCACAUUGGGACUGAGAUACGGCCCAGACUCCUACGGGAGGCAGCAGUGGGGAAUAUUGCACAAUGGGCGGAAGCCUGAUGCAGCAACGCCGCGUGCGGGAUGACGGCCUUCGGGUUGUAAACCGCUUUCGCCUGUGACGAAGCGUGAGUGACGGUAAUGGGUAAAGAAGCACCGGCUAACUACGUGCCAGCAGCCGCGGUGAUACGUAGGGUGCGAGCGUUGUCCGGAUUUAUUGGGCGUAAAGGGCUCGUAGGUGGUUGAUCGCGUCGGAAGUGUAAUCUUGGGGCUUAACCCUGAGCGUGCUUUCGAUACGGGUUGACUUGAGGAAGGUAGGGGAGAAUGGAAUUCCUGGUGGAGCGGUGGAAUGCGCAGAUAUCAGGAGGGAACACCAGUGGCGAAGGCGGUUCUCUGGGCCUUUCCUGACGCUGAGGAGCGAAAGCGUGGGGAGCGAACAGGCUUAGAUACCUUGGUAGUCCACGCUGUAAACGGUGGGUACUAGGUGUGGGGUCCAUUCCACGGGUUCCGUGCCGUAGCUAACGCUUUAAGUACCCCGCCUGGGGAGUACGGCCGCAAGGCUAAAACUCAAAGGAAUUGACGGGGCCCCGCACAAGCGGCGGAGCAUGCGGAUUAAUUCGAUGCAACGCGUAGAACCUUACCUGGGUUUGACAUGGAUCGGGAGUGCUCAGAGAUGGGUGUGCCUCUUUUGGGGUCGGUUCACAGGUGGUGCAUGGCUGUCGUCAGCUCGUGUCGUGAGAUGUUGGGUUAAGUCCCGCAACGAGCGCAACCCUUGUUCACUGUUGCCAGCACGUUAUGGUGGGGACUCAGUGGAGACCGCCGGGGUCAACUCGGAGGAAGGUGGGGAUGACGUCAAGUCAUCAUGCCCCUUAUGUCCAGGGCUUCACGCAUGCUACAAUGGCUGGUACAGAGAGUGGCGAGCCUGUGAGGGUGAGCGAAUCUCGGAAAGCCGGUCUCAGUUCGGAUUGGGGUCUGCAACUCGACCUCAUGAAGUCGGAGUCGCUAGUAAUCGCAGAUCAGCAACGCUGCGGUGAAAACGUUCCCGGGGCU